rnacentral:sRNA from 1 species
GGAUUCCCCUAGUAACUGCGAGUGAAGAGGGAAAAGCUCAAAUUUAAAAUCUGGUAGUCUUUGGCUGCCCGAGUUGUAAUUUAGAGAAGUGUUACCCGUUGUUGGGCCGUGUACAAGUCUCCUGGAAUGGAGCGUCAUAGAGGGUGAGAAUCCCGUCUUUGACACGGACUCCAAUGCGUUGUGGUAUGCUCUCAAAGAGUCGAGUUGUUUGGGAAUGCAGCUCUAAAUGGGUGGUAAAUUCCAUCUAAAGCUAAAUAUUGGGGAGAGACCGAUAGCGAACAAGUACCGUGAGGGAAAGAUGAAAAGAACUUUGGAAAGAGAGUUAAACAGUACGUGAAAUUGCUGAAAGGGAAACGCUUGAAGUCAGUCGCGUUAGUUGGGGAUCAGCCUUCCUUUUGGUUGGUGUACUUCCCAGUUGACGGGUCAGCAUCAGUUUUGACCAGUGGAUAAAAGCUUGAGGAAUGUGGCACCUUCGGGUGUGUUAUAGCCUCUUGUUGUAUACAUUGGUUGGGACUGAGGAACUCAGUACGCCGCAAGGCCGGGUUUUUAACCACGUUCGUACUUA